rnacentral:piRNA from 1 species
UGAGGAUCUUUCCUUUGACUGGGUGCUGU